GUUGAAACACCGAUUCCCGUACGAUCAUCGAAGUUAAGCAACGUCGAUCCUAGUCUAUUCCUAGAUGGGUGACCUCUUGGGAAUACCAGGUCCUGUAAG